GGAGCUGCUGGGCUGUUGGCUGGGCAAGGCUGGGCCUGGGAGGAAAGGAGGAUGGAGCUCCAGGUGGGGAAGUGGCCACCUGCCCUCUGCAGCCGGAGUUGACACCAUGUCCACAUCUGCUCAGGUGAACGUGUCCUUCUCACUCUCCCUGGAGCUGCUCUCCUAUCAGAAGCUCCCGGCCGACCAGACACUGCCUGGGGUGGACAUUCAGCAGAGUGCGAGUGGAGAGAGAGAGAUGGUGUUUACUCAGAACCUGCUCCUGGAGUACACCAACCAGACCACUCAGGUGGUGCCCCUGCGGGCUGUGGUGGCCGUGCCUGAGCUGC
rnacentral:lncRNA from 1 species